rnacentral:rRNA from 1 species
GACGUAGGUGGCGAACGUUAUCCGGAAUUAUUGGGCGUAAAGGGUGCGUAGAUGGCCUGAUAAGUUAGCAGUGGGAAAUCGAGGCUCAACCUCGUGAAAGCUGGUAAUACUGUCAGGCUCGAGUGCAGGAGAGGUUAACGGAACUCCAUGUGGAGCGGUAAAAUGUGUAGAUAUAUGGAAGAACACCAAUAACGGCGAAGGCAGUUAACUAUUCUGUUACUGACAUUGAGGCACGAAAGCGUGGGGAGCAAAACGG